AUUGAACGCUGGCGGCAGGCCUAACACAUGCAAGUCGAGCGACCGGCGGGCGGGUGAGUAAUGUAUGGGGACUGCCCGAUAGAGGGGGAUAACUAAUGGAAACGGUAGCUAAUACUGCCUCCUAUCGGCUUACGCAUAUGGGAUUAGCUAGUAGGUGGGGUAAUGGCUCACCUAGGCGACGAUCCCUAGCUGGUCUGAGAGGAUGAUCAGCCACACUGGGACUGAGACACGGCCCAGACUCCUACGGAGGCAGCAGUGGGGAAUAUUGCACAAUGGGCGCAAGCCUGAUGCAGCCAUGCCGCGUGUAUGAAGAAGGCCCUAGGGUUGUAAAGUACUUUCAGUCGGGAGGCGUUACCGACAGAAGAAGCACCGGCUAACCCCGUGCCAGCAGCCGCGGUAAUAC
rnacentral:rRNA from 1 species